CGUGGCUUCCGGAGCUAACGCGUUAAGUAGACCGCCUGGGGAGUACGGCCGCAAGGUUAAAACUCAAAUGAAUUGACGGGGGCCCGCACAAGCGGUGGAGCAUGUGGUUUAAUUCGAUGCAACGCGAAGAACCUUACCUGGUCUUGACAUCCACAGAACUUUCCAGAGAUGGAUUGGUGCCUUCGGGAACUGUGAGACAGGUGCUGCAUGGCUGUCGUCAGCUCGUGUUGUGAAAUGUUGGGUUAAGUCCCGCAACGAGCGCAACCCUUAUCCUUUGUUGCCAGCGAUUAGGUCGGGAACUCAAAGGAGACUGCCAGUGAUAAACUGGAGGAAGGUGGGGAUGACGUCAAGUCAUCAUGGCCCUUACGACCAGGGCUACACACGUGCUACAAUGGCGCAUACAAAGAGAAGCGACCUCGCGAGAGCAAGCGGACCUCAUAAAGUGCGUCGUAGUCCGGAUUGGAGUCUGCAACUCGACUCCAUGAAGUCGGAAUCGCUAGUAAUCGUGGAUCAGAAUGCCACGGUGAAUACGUUCCCGGGCCUUGUACACACCGCCCGUCACACCAUGGGAGUGGGUUGCAAAAGAAGUAGGUAGCUUAACCUUCGGGAGGGCGCUUACCACUUUGUGAUUCAUGACUGGGGUGAAGUCGUAACAAGGUAACCGUAGGGGAACCUGCGGUUGGA
rnacentral:rRNA from 3 species